GUCCUUGUAGAUGAAUUGGUACAUCGUCCAUGCCUUGUGUAUGAGAUUGGGGUUACACAAAGGGAAGGGUGGAGGUUCGAAUCCUCCCAAGGGCA